rnacentral:rRNA from 1 species
UACGUAGGGUGCGAGCGUUGUCCGGAAUUAUUGGGCGUAAAGAGCAUCGUAGGCGGUGGUGUCACGUCGUUCGUGAAACCUGACAGCUUAACUGUGGGCGUGCGGUCGAUACGGGCAUCACUGGAGUUCGGCAGGGGAGACUGGAAUUCCUGGUGUAGUGGUGAAAUGCGUAGAGAUCAGGCGGAACACCCGUGGCGAAGGCGGCCAGCUGGGUCGUCCCUGACGCUGAGGCGCGAAGGCGUGGGGAGCGAACGGG